rnacentral:rRNA from 1 species
CUACGUGCCAGCAGCCGCGGUAAUACGUAGGGCGCGAGCGUUGUCCGGAAUUAUUGGGCGUAAAGGGCUUGUAGGCGGUUGGUCGCGUCUGCCGUGAAAUUCUCUGGCUUAACUGGGGGCGUGCGGUGGGUACGGGCUGACUUGAGUGCGGUAGGGGAGACUGGAACUCCUGGUGUAGCGGUGGAAUGCGCAGAUAUCAGGAAGAACACCGGUGGCGAAGGCGGGUCUCUGGGCCGUUACUGACGCUGAGGAGCGAAAGCGUGGGGAGCGAACAGGAUUAGAUACCCUGGUAGUCCACGCUGUAAACGUUGGGCACUAGGUGUGGGGGCCACCCGUGGUUUCUGCGCCGUAGCUAACGCUUUAAGUGCCCCGCCUGGGGAGUACGGCCGCAAGGCUAAAACUCAAAGGAAUUGACGGGGGCCCGCACAAGCGGCGGAGCAUGCGGAUUAAUUCGAUGCAACGCGAAGAACCUUACCAAGGCUUGACAU